GCCCUCGAUACCGGUACAUGCGAACAACCAGGUACCGGUCCGUUACUUAAUUUUCGUUACUUUUCCCAUCACUACUCCAUUAAUCUCCGACAAAACGCCACUGACCAAGUAGUUCAUCCAUUUUAGUUUGUUCCGUAAGCUCGAAUCUAGCUGAGGCGUUGCUUAAUGGCGUUGUACUUUCCUGUCGCGGAAAGCUCUUUUACAUAAUCAGCUAUAUUGCAAAGCACAGAUUGGUCGAGUUUAGCGACAAUGUGAUAAAAUGUUGUUUCAACCUUAUUAACAUUGGACAGCAUAAACUGAGCCACAGCUUGAGAAAACUACAACGAUGGAUCCGUCUUCCAGCAUUCCGGUAGCAACGGACCCUUCUGCUUCGGAAACGUUUUCUAUAGACAUGUUCGCUAAAAACUUUACGAAUUAAGGGAACCUAGAACAAUCCGGAGAUCACGUCAGGGUCACCAAUGUGGGAGGGAUAGAAAGUGAUGUUAAUCGUUCUGAGAGUAAACUAAGACUGGUUUCAUUAUUCGGUAUUUGGUGUAACUCCGAUUGCUCUAACCGAUGGCUACUCGAUUACACUGAAAAAAACCACCACAACCUCUUCUUUUUAAUCGUCCCUGGUUCGAGUCAUGCAUUGUCAGUGAUUGUUCAACAGUCUGAUCGUCCGCAUUUUGUUGCCCGGAUUGCAACCGGGGAGGUCUGGCUCAAAGGUUCCAAAAAGCUUUAUCCUACUUCAAUUGUAUCGUGAUGGCUAAUGGAUACAGAUUCAUCUUCUACAACCUAGUUUGGGACAGCACUAUGUUUCGAGUUAGAGGAUAAUUGUAAAUUUUCAUUCUGUGUUUCUUGUGUUUGUGAAAAAUGUUUGUGGCGACUACCACAAAAUUUACGCGGCUUUUUGAAAUACUCUUUGGAUUUAUUUGUAACAAUCAAAGAUUUGUAUCUUCUUCCGACCUGCCGCGUUUCGCUUCGUCUUUUGGAAAGAACCCUUUUUUCUCCUUCCUAUUCGUCCUGACCUAUCCUUUUCACGUGGCCUAUGCACUGUGUUUAUAUCGCCCGCUUCUCUUCUAAACCUCGUCCUUUAAAACGUAUGAUCAAGUUCUUUAUUUAGUUUGAGUUUAGGCUGAAUCUUACUUAAAACAUCGCGCGGCUAGCUUUGUUCGCAACAAUGUUGCUUUGAUGAUAUGGUUCCAAAUGUUGAUAUCAACGCCCCACCAGAUAGACUCAUUUCCGUUAACUCUAACACACGGGUUCUAUUUAAUUCAAGUUUUUUUAUAUUGCACGGCUCUCGACGAGUGCUCGUUAUUGUUAUACGCCAGUUUUUUCUUUAAUGAACAUUUGACAUCAGUUCACAUCUACUGUAGAAUAUUUACCGGUUGUGAUAUCGUAAUUUUAGAGAAGAACGCGUGUGGUCGGCUUGCUAGCGUGUAUUCAACUGUUCACUUGAAAUGCAUUACAACUAGUCCAUCUAGUCCAAAAAUUCAUUAUUUAGUUCGUUGCCUAAAUUUAUUUCUACCUAGUACCCAAGUAACUCCAACAUUCCGGCCAUCAAAAGAAAGAAAUUCUUUAAAUUAACUGACAUCCGUUUGUAGUAGAUCAGGUAAUAAUGCUAAUCGCGCUACCGGCUACGAUAUACUUAUCGGAUACCGUUCGGAAGGUAGCUACACGAAUUACGAAGUCUUUACGGGGAUGGAGCUUUACGGUGCGCCCCUUCGGCCACCCGGUGAGAUGAACAUUAUUUUCCCUAACGAGGACUAACUGAUUCUCCUUGAGUUCUACUGAUGAUCUACUACUAAAUGAAGAUCGCGCCUGUAGUUGUUGUGUAUACUCCCUUUGUCAACGCUGUCAAAUGCACCAAAUAUUUCUUUGUACUUAUUGAUAAUCGUUGAAUCGAUUAAACGCAAUGCUACUAUAGUCGACGUCGGGAACAGAUUGCAAAUUACUACCGACGAGAAAAUGUCCUGGCGUGAGUACCUAAAGAUCACAAGGAUCAUCACAGAUGAAUCGAGGUACUCUAUCUUCUAGCAAUCGAAAUAAUCCGAAGUGGUAUUGCUUCCACUCUUCUAGAAACUGUGCUUGCAAAGUGCUAUCCCAAUCCCUUGCCGUCGCAUCCUUUUUUAGGGUUCAGAGACGUUGCAUAAACAUUUUUGAAAUGAUUAUCGUGGGCCCUAGCAAUCCGAGUGGAUUAAAGAUCUUCGCGAUGUACGAUAACGCUUGGCGCUUGGUAAACGAUGAGGCAGAAGGUGAUAAGUCUACCUGGAACCGAAAGGAAUCGUUCCUUGGCUCCCAAACCAAACCCAAUGUUGAGGUAGAAUGGUCUUUUAGCCGGCAAACGGAUUGGAUGCCCAUAUUUUCUGCAGGAACGCCUGCUAAUGCUUCAGGGUAAUUCGAUGUUCAUUUUCGUAGCACCAUUCCUACUGUAUCAAGCAUUGAAUUGAUUUGUGUUCGCUUUUUCACUAGUUCUGUGACGUAGCUUCCUCCUGACAAAAGAUCAUCGGCAUAGAAAUCAUGUAGCAUGGCAUCAACCGCCUCUUGGAACUGCUGCAGAUGAUCAUGUGCCACUUGCUGUAGUGUUCUAGUUGCUAGAAAAGGUGCUGAGGCUGUACCGUUAGUCAGUGUGGCCAGUUCAUAUGUAGAGAUCGGGUAUGUGGUAGCCUUUCUAUAUCGUAUUCGUAAGAGAUUUUUAUCAUCGGCGUGAUGGAGUAUUUGACGAUACAUUUUCACAAAAUCGACGGCUAUUGCAAUGACGUGCGUGCGGAAUCGCAAGAUGAUUGAGAAGAGAUCUUCUUGUAAAAUCGGACCAACUAACAAGGUAUCCUUUAAAAAGUAUCUUGAUGAGGUUUUACAUGACGCAUCAAACACUACCCUAACCUUGGUAGUGGUACUUGACUCCUUGACAACAUGAUGCGGUAUGUAGCAAUGUGGAAUAGUGUCAUCCACCGGUUCAGUAAGCUUCUUCAUAUGAUCCAGUUCCUCAUACUCAUAAACAAAACAAUUCGUUAAAAAGGUAUCUAGUGGGCCUAAUCGAGGAACAUCGCAAGCCAGAUGUUGAAGGUUGUGAACGUUGUUCGUCAAAUGUUCUCGGUCAUAAUUUUUUCCAAAAAUCAUGCACAUACGCAUCUAAGAAUAACGCAGCACGAUUCCAAUGAUAGCGAUGAAAUUUUGUAAAAAAAUAUGGUUAUGGAGCAAAAAUAAAGCAAAAAAUGACUAAAUGCCCUUGAGCUAAAUAUUUCCUCCAUAACCAACACGCAGUCGUAAUGAAAAAAUGAUCAUUAUCGCAUUCCUUUCCAUUUGCGCAUGUAAACUACGUCUAGCGAUUUCCUGUUGAUUUCCGUAGGAAGCCGCAAUGAAUUACGAAAAUCGUUUAACAUUUCCUUCUGGGAAAAAGAUAUUCGAGGAUAGGAUGUAAAAUAUCCGAACCAUAUCCCAAACAACCAUUUUCGUGUUACCUCGAGAUCGCACAAAUGAAAACGGUCAUUUGUCGGAACAUCUUCUAGUAAAUCAAAUGCAUAGAGAUUCUUUAGAGGUGUUUCCCAUGGCUGAUGAUGGUCUUUGCAUUUCUUUGUGCGGAAUCCAGCAUCGGUUCUUAGUGAGGCGCAUAUUGACGGGACGGUAUUCAGUAACGCAAGUACAUCGUUAGCAACCGUGCACUGCAUUGCACGACUUUGUUCCUGCAAAAUGUUUAGAAAUGCUUAGAAUUAGCAAUGAUUCCUAAUGAAGGCACAAAUUAUAUACUUCUUACCUUUUAUAAAUGCUGUUGCUGGUGAAUCCGCUAUAAAGGCUCGGAUUUUAAAUUGGACGGUUAUUGUGUGGCUUUGAACACCUCAAACAUAAAGUUCGGACGUAAGUAUUCCUGAACAUUUUUUGGUUAACCUUUGCCCGAAAAAUCAGCAACCAUAAUAAUUGGAGCAUUUUCCAGUUUUUCUAUCUGUAUCAAAAUGGGCCACUUUUAUGCAACGGUAGACCAUCAACAGACAAUUGAACCGUAAACUGAUCUGUGCAUGGGGUAGAAGAUCUGUAUAAAGAAACAAUUUUAAAUAUAUUGUCCAGGAGAGCCAAUAGCCAAAGCCAGGAGAGAGUGGCUACUGUCAGGUACAUGAGAGAGUCAGGGAGAGCGAGGGACAAAGAGAGAGGGAUAGCGCGCUUACGAGUAGCGUAAGCGGCUUUUUUUUGAAAACAGGAUGUUUUUUAUUUUUCUUCAAAAAAACAAGAAGGUUAAUUACAAUAAAAUUUGUUUUGAACACAUCCUAUCGCCUCUACCUAUAGCGUUCUUCCUACUAGGGUGUGUACUGAUACCUUAUUUUGGUUUAAUGCCUUUCUCCGCUUGUAUUGGUCGCUUUUACGUCCAAUGCGUCGCGUUUACGUGAAUUCUUUUAUAUUUUUCUUUUGGUUAAUUUUGGAGCAUAUACUACUUCUUCAGCAAACAAACUUGUUGGCUUUCCUAUCCGACUCUCAAUUACAAUUUUUGAGAAAUCCUGCUCCUGCUUAACACGUUGACUGCCGUGUCACCCAAAAAGUGGGUGACGGCGAUACUUCUCACCAGGCCGCGUCACCCGCUUUUUGGGUGACAACAAAUCGGCUCGACGUGCCGUAUACGGCGAGUACGAAUACUACGAACGUGCACAACCAUCUGGUUGUUGUGUUUGUUGGUUGUGUACGUGUAUUUGCAGUCACUGUUGUAAAAAAAACGAGAUUUAAUUUUCAAAGAAUUUCAUUCUUUAUUACUAUUCACCAAAAAUAUCUUCAAGAGCGCCUUCAUUUUCAUGAAUCAUGAAUCAUGAACUCAUGAAUCAAGUACAUGAAUGAAUGAAUCAAGUACAAAACGCUUUCUCUUGCUUGGUUGUAUGACUUCUUCCUCGUCACUAUUAUCUGAAUCGAAGUUAGGAAUAUCAUUUCCACCAAUCUCGUCAUCGCUGUUAAUCGGUUCACUAUAAGGUGAUUUAUCUAUGCUCAGUUGAAAACGGUGAAAAUUUUACAAAAGUAUUGAAUUGCCGACGAAGCAAGAAGCGACUGAGCUCGGACGAUUUUAAAUCACUACUAAUUAAUAACCUUACCAUGUUUACCUACAUGCAUGCAUACCAAAAUAACCAUCGAGUAUGACACACGAAGUGAGCGAGGCACAUUGUACUAACAAAUAACAGUAUAUGACCUCUUCUCGGAAACGCUUCGUGCGUCCUGACUGAGAAUUUUGUUCAAAACGGCUUGGCAGUCAACGUGUUAACCUGUCGAGGUACCUACGAUCUUGAGUUUUUUUUUAUCUAGUGGCCAGAUGUGUUGGCCUCUGAGAUAACCGCUUCCUCAUCAGCAGAGAGGACGCCUUCCAUGACAUGAUUUUCCGCAGGGCCAUCCCUGUCACCCCCAACAUCCCUCAGACUACGCGGAUUUGUAUCUGACCUACGUCUCUCCCACCAGGGACGCAUGCGUUCUCGAGCCUGAGAUCUUCGCCCUUCCGUGUCCGGCGAAGGUGGUGGUGUCGGUGAUCGCCCUUGUCGUCUCUUCUUUUGUCGACGGACAGUCUGCAAUCGACAAACUUCGUUGCGUCGAUCAUAGCGGGCCCUCACCGUCCGCGCAUGCUCCGUCGGUCCGACAGGAAGUCGGGACAAAAGGUUGUCCGGCAUAACAGGAUCGGAGCUGUGCUCGCCAAGCAGCCGCUGUCGGAUGUCCGCGAACCGAGGGCACUCGAGGAGUACAUGCUCUACCGACUCUGGAACACCAGCACAGCGCAGGCAGUCAGAGGACGAAGUGAACCCCAUGACGCACAGGUAUUCACGGAAAAAAUCGUGCUCUGAUAGGACCUGGGUCAGGUGAAAAUCCACGACUCCAUGUUUCCUCGACUGCCACGCCGUCACGUCAGGGAUGACUAGACGAGACCAUCUAACGUAUCUGCUGGCGUUACCUGCACUGCAUAGUAGCGUAAGCGGUUAAGACUGGCGAAAAAUAAAAAAAGACAAAAAAAAGAUAAAUCCUUUGACUCGUGUCCAUUGCUUCCCCCUGGCGGAAUAUCCAUAUAUAUGUAUUUAUAUAUUAACGGUACUUUGCGUACCUCGGUCCUACUGACACCAGUCCAAUUGAUUUGGGCAAAAAAAGGUUUGGCGAAAAUCAAAUCGAUUGCCUGAUGCAAGCGAUUAUCAACAUCCGCGCGAUAUAUUUGCCGCAGCAAAUAUUCCUCUACUUUUCCCUUAUACUCUGGAUCUGUCCCUAAUGCCAAUUCUAGAGUAGCUAGCUCUUCUUCAUCCUUCAGCGGUACUAACUCAAAGUCCGACCGAGGGAGAAGCCCUGCCCGCGGCCGGUUUGCUGCCAAGCAUUCUUCUAAUGCUUGCCUUUGCCGAGCAGAGCUGCUAACUAACAUACUUAGCUGGGCUUGCAUCUCCUUCGACGCUUCCGUUACUUUCUGCAGCUCCGAUUGAGUUUUGCGCAGCUGGUCGGACAAUUCGGAGAUUUCCGUAGGUGUCGCUCGGACCGACGUCGACGUUCUGGCCGUCGGUGUUGGUUGCACCGUUGG